rnacentral:rRNA from 1 species
GUCCACGCCGUAAACGAUGGAUACUAGCUGUUGGGAGCGAUCUCAGUGGCUAAGCGAAAGUGAUAAGUAUCCCACCUGGGAGUACGUUCGCAAGAAUGAAACUCAAAGGAAUUGACGGGGCCCGCACAAGCGGUGGAGCAUGUGGUUUAAUUCGAUGAUACGCGAGGAACCUUACCAAGGCUUAAAUGUAGAUUGACCGGUUUGGAAACAGACUUUUCGCAAGACAAUUUACAAGGUGCUGCAUGGUUGUCGU